GUUAGAGCGCUACACUGAUAAUGUAGAGGUCGGCAGUUCAACUCUGCCUGGGACUACCA
rnacentral:tRNA from 1 species